CAUCAGCUGAGGCUUCACCACGAAGAAGUCUGCGCUCGCACAGGUCACCAUGCCGACCAGCAGCCAACCCAAACCCUUCGCCUCCGUCACCUGAAAGAAAGAGGUUCGAUGGUUGUGGUGUAUGUGCGGGAGGAAGAUCAUCUCCUCUUCAUCCCAGGACUGCGUGUCGUCUGAUUCGAUCCUCCCUCUGAUCCUCCAUCGCUGGCGACCCAAUCGCACCACCACCUGUGUGUCAUGUGAUCAUCACAGAUUGCUCCGAGGAGGAUUUCCAGCUCUCCUUCGAUAACGGACAUGUCCUGCAGAGAGGAGAAAUUGGCCACGAGAAGUACGUGUUGUGCCAGAACUGGAGCCGGACAAGCGAGCGAUGCAGCCUCUAAGGACAUAAUGGCAGAGGAGAAGAGAGCGAAGCUGAAAGACAGACGCCGAGCUGGCCUUCUUGCUGUUGGACUAGCUGUAGCAGUGUGUCACUCACCGUCGUCGUCCAUUCAGAGAGCUGAAACCGGUGAAGGAGCGGCUCCUGUGGACCAAACCUCCGUCUGAAGGCGAGUCGAAUCGUA